rnacentral:rRNA from 1 species
GACGUAGGAAGCGAGCGUUGUCCGGAAUUACUGGGCGUAAAGAGCUCGUAGGCGGGACCGUAAGUCCGAGAGGAAAUCUCAAGGCUCAACUUUGGGGCUUUCUUGGAUACUGCGGUUCUUGAGGAUGUCAGAGGAUAGUAGAAUUCCCGGUGUAGCGGUGAAAUGCGUAGAUAUCGGGAGGAAUACCAGUGGCGAAGGCGACUGUCUGGGACAUUCCUGACGCUGAGGAGCGAAAGCGUGGGGAGCAAACGGG